GAUAACCGAACCGUACUCUGGCUGCUUUCCUCCUUCUAUCUCAGCCCGGUCUCCUGGAAAUGCCUGCCACUGGUCCAACCCGACCAGAAACCCGUGGGCAAAGGAAGACUGAAACCAAGUGGAGGCCAAGGGUGGACGGAGAAAACGGACUCCAGUUGCUUCCCUCACAGGAAACGGCCUUUUCUGAACCUCGUGAGAACACCUUUACCACAGAGUUGGUCUGUGUGUACCACCUGAAUGCAGUUCCCAUGUAGACCAGAAGAGAAUGUCAAAUCCUCUGGAUCUGGAGUCAUGGAUGAUUGUUAGCUAACACCAUGUAGGCACUGGAAACUGAGCCUGGGUCCUGUGAAAGAGCAGUCAGUACUCUUAACCACUGAGCCAUCUCUCCAGCACCUUGAAGAGAGCCUUCAUGGGGAACCCCUGGCAACAGAUCAACACACCGCGAUUUGCCUGAGAAUUGUGUCAUUCUUGCGAAUAUAAAGGACCAACAACAAUGUAUUCUGUUCUAGAGAAAGGCAGAUCUCACAGCAAUCUGGGGAGCACCUCUAAUCUUUUAGGAACUUUGGCUCAGUCCAAACCACGGUCUUAAGUUUAAAACAUAAAAGAAUUAGAGGACUAUCAGAUAGGAAGGAAAGCUAGGGAUCGAUUUUCAUGACAUUUUGGAAGGACCAGGAGUGGAGUCUCGCUAAUUUGCUGUCUAGACCAGCCGUCCUCAAACUCAAGAGAUCAGAGAUCCACCAGGACUAAAAACGGGCACCACAACAACCAGCCUUUAGAUACAGAGUUUCUUUUUUGUAACCGGACCCUCAGACCGGAUCACAACUGACUCCCGGAUGGAAGCACCAUUCAAGCUGUAGCUCUCGUAGACAGCACCACCUGCCAAAACAAAACUGACCUAAUCUGUCAAAGUCCAUAAGACUGGGAAAGUGUUCUUGUUAGGUCUCAAACCCUGGACAAACAGCUAGCCAACGUGCUUAUUAACUUAUCAAAGCACCUCCUGGCUGCCAGGUUCUCCCCUACCAGUUGCAGGGUAGAGCUGGCAUGCCCUGCCCCCUACCCUAAAGUUCUCUGACCCAGGAUCUGGGCUAUGCUGCCCUUCCCCCCAGCCAUUUUGGUUAUGCAGGCCGUUUUAUCUUUUACCUUUUACCCUCCAGGCCUCUUAGCCUCCAGGCUUUUCCCUGCCCCUCCUACCUCUUCUCACUGCCUGGCUCCGGGUCUGGCUUACUCUGAGUUCUCCCAGACCUCCCUGGCCCCUGGCUAUUCUCUCCCUCUAAGCCUUCUCCUCCGCCAUACCUAGGAGCAGUCGUGUCCUUCCCUUUUAAUUUCUUCUUUUCAUCCAUCACUAACCUUGCUUUCUGGCUUCUGUAGCUCUGUUUCUGGCUAAUUGUUCUUGUUAACUGAAGUAUGUCAACUCCGGACAUGGUUUUUAUGCUUAAAGGCUCCUCCUGAAAAAGGCUCAGAGCUAGCUAUACUGGGAUCCUGAACACCCGGUGUAGUCACCGGCCAGCUAAUAAAGACUUUCUAGUGACUUAAA